rnacentral:rRNA from 1 species
AAGUCGACGAAGCCAAAAGGAAGCUUGCUUCUUGAAGCUUAGUGGCGGACGGGUGAGUAACGCGUGAGGAACCUGCCCUUCAGUGGGGAAUAACAGCCGGAAACGACUGCUAAUACCGCAUAACGUCAUCGGACCGCAUGAUCUGAUGACCAAAGGAUUUAUUCGCUGAAGGAUGGCCUCGCGUCCGAUUAGGCAGUUGGUGAGGUAACGGCCCACCAAACCUACGAUCGGUAGCCGAACUGAGAGGUUGAUCGGCCACAUUGGGACUGAGACACGGCCCAGACUCCUACGGGAGGCAGCAGUGGGGAAUAUUGGGCAAUGGGCGAAAGCCCUGACCCAGCAACGCCGCGUGAAGGAAGACGGUCUUCGGAUUGUAAACUUCUUUGAUUGGGGAAGAACACAAUGACCUACCCAAAGAACAAGUCACGGCUAACUACGUGCCAGCAGCGGC